rnacentral:ncRNA from 1 species
AUCAUAAAAGGGCAAAACCACCGAAAGGUGGUGACGCAAAGUUUCCAGUCUAACGGAGUUAUUCCUAUGACAGUGGGAUUGCUAAA